GAUUUUGGACUCCAUCACCUCCAACCAGCUUCCACUUGCAGGCUCAGACCACUGGUGAGAAUACUGUCUUAUCACCGUUCAGAAUUGCAAGUAAAAACUCUUAGGAGUGAUGAGGCCGCACUCUGAUGAUGUGCUUGUGCAGCAGAAAACUGUGAAAAUGCAAAAAACUUAGCGUGUGACAUUUUUAACCUCAUCGACAGGUCUAACUUUAUUUCAGAGCAUUAAUAUAAAUUAAUCAUAUACAUAUGAUACAUUUAUAGAUUAUAUUACAUUACAUUAUAUAUUAUCAUAUAUCAUGUACAUAUGAUCAUGUAUCAUUUAUAUGAUCACGUAUUUCUUCUAUAUAUUUGCAGAGCUUUCUUGAAGCUUUGGUUAAACAAAGGAGAGAUAAAGAGAAUAUUCCUACCUGCAGUGACACCUUCAGUGACUUUUUCAACAGAACUAAGUCUUGAGAUGAUGACUGGUUACCUUUUGUUGCUCAGGUCAAACACCCAGAGCCCUGCAGGUAGACUAAACCCCUGACCGCAGAUGUACCCCCACCCCCCACCCGUCUCCUCCUCUCCGUGCAGAGACCUUCUGCAGCCUCAUUCUCUGAUCACUGGCCUGAUUAAUAGGAGACCGAAUUGGAAAUUUAAUUGGAUGUUGUUACAAUUAUAAAGGCCUGGUCUCCCUAGAGCUGUGACUCUGACUGUCUGUAGGCACCGAGGGGGAAACAAGAUAUCAGCAGGAAGAACAUGUUCUGUCACAUAUUGCGCCCCAAGAUUCCCCCAAUACAGGGGGAGGGUGAGGUGUGUAAGAUCACCGUCCAAAGGGGAGCUGUUUAAACAGAAGAAACUGCUGCUGAACACAGAUAAUAGUUUAGUAAAUAAUAAUAAUAAUAAUAAUAAUAAUAAUAAUAAUAAUAAUAAUAAUAAUAAUAAUAAUAAUAAUUAUUAUUAUUAUUAUUAUUAUUAUUAUUAUUAUUAUUAUUAUUAUUAUAUUAUGUAAAAAUUAUAAUGACAUAAUAGUUAUUAUUAUUAUUAUUAUUAUUAUUAUUUUAACUUUCAUUACUAUUAUUUUCCUAAUCAUCAUUGGAUUAUUAAUAUAAAUGAUAAAAUAAUAAUAAUGCUGAGAUGUUGUUAAUUUUAUAUAUUGCAGAAACUAUGCUGCUGCGCUCUUGGCAAAGUCUCCCUUGUAAAAGAGAUUCGUAAUCUCAGUGGGACUACCCUGGUUGAAUAAAGGCUAAAAUUAAUAAAUAAAAAUGAGAAUAAUGAUAAAAAUGAUUUAAAUAAAUAAAUAAAUGAAUGAAUAAAUAAAUAAAUAAAUGAUAAUAAUAAUAAAAAUAAUAAUAAAUUAAUUCUUAAAUUUAUCAAUUUAGACCUUAUAAUGAGAAUACUGUUAUCAUUUCAAAGCUGUUUAUUGUAUUCUAUUCAAUCCAUUUUUUAAAAUGUUUUUUUAUCUCUUCUGCUUAUCUUAGUUCUUGUUACCUUUGCACAUUUGUGAUCUUUAACCACCUGAGCUGCUGUUGAGUCAAAGGUCAUAGUCAAAGUCUCCAGAGACUGAAGAAGUGCAGUUUUUGCAGAAACAUUCUUUUUUGUAUUUCCAUGCAAUGCAAAAAACUUAAUUUUAUACAUGUUUUGGUCUUAUUUUUUGUCUUAAUUUUCUUAGUCUAAUGAGGCUGUAUUUUAACCAAUUCAGCUGACAAAUUAAGGUAAAUCCAGACUUUGUGUUUGUAAUGACCACAAAAAAAUAUCCAAAAAUGAAAUAAGAAAAAAAAAAGACUUCAGAAGAUUCUUAUGUUGAGCACUAAGCAUCAGCAGUUUCAUUUUUAUUCAGUCCUUAUUGCUGGCUGAUAGUUGAGACAUGUUUCUGGAUUUUUCAUGUGAAUUGAGUUUUGAUUUGACCUUAUUUUUUAAAGAAUAGAUCAAAACACUGGCUUAGACGAGUUAUUGUUACAUCGUACAUCUGUUUGUGAUCCCAUGAACUCUUUUACAUAGUCCAGUUGAAUUUUGAUAAACUAUGAGUUACUUUUAGUUGCCCCAGUGUUUAAGAACCUUUAUUAAACAUGUAUUAAGUGUUAAAUUGAUCCUGCUCUCAGCUGAUUUCAUGCUUAUGUCUGUCCUCUGCACACAUGCAUGCUCUCCUCCUCCUCCUCUCUGUCUCUGAUAAUAUUUGAUCCACCCUCUCCUGUUUUCCACCUGAUAAACCUCUUUUCUGCAGCUGCAGCCCCUGCAGGCCUCAGGAGGCAAACAGAACCCUCUUUUGGUGGAAGUGGGUACUGCAGCUCAGUCAGAUGUCAUCGGAGAAAUGAAAAGGUCUCUGUCGCAACCCAGAGAUCCCUCACUCCUCCCAGCUCUGUCUGCGUGCUUAGGGUCCAGUUUAGGUUAUAAUCCCUGACAUAUGUAAGAUCUGUGUCAUGCUUUUAUUUCCUCCAUAAGCUAAAAAUCUUCCAGAGGAUGAGUGUGAAGCGUCCCUCUGUUCUAAGCUGCUUUCAGUCUGCAGCAGCAGCUGACAAAUGAAAAUGGAACACUUAUUAGAUUGAGGCCAAGAAGCAGGAUUGUGUUUUAUUGUCUGUGUUUGGACAGACCUCUCAAAGUACUCAGACAAUAUCAGGACUCUGGGGGUGAAAGCUGCCCCCACUCUUUUAGGUUUUUCAGGAAGACAGUAGAUCCAAGUCUUUCUAGCAGGCUGAUUCUAUGUUUCAAAGUCGGUCCUCCUGUGUUAUUUUCUGGCGGUCAGAGGAUGGAGUCAGUGAGUCUGCCAAGUAACUGAUUUGGUGACCUUUGUUCUCUCUGCCUCAGUUUUAUUUAUUUACUUAUUUAUUUUAUUUUAUUUAUUUAUUUUAUUCUUUGAGUGUAACAACAUCUCUGUGUCCUGCUGUUGAGACCCAUGUGAGAGCUGCAUGGUGCAAAUGUUAAGAUGCAGUAAAUAGAUCUAAAGAUGUUCCUAACAGAAAACUGAAGAGUCAAAGUGAAAGCCCAGGGGCCUUAUGUAUCAAUACUUGCGUGGAACUCAUACCAGAAACGAGCGCACGCAAGGUCCGUCACGCUGAAAAAAAUCCGUAUGUAUCAAUGUGUGCGGGCGCCGAAAUCCACGUGUGUUUCCUUGAUAAAUCCCAAUCAGCGUGGAAUUGAGCGCAGAUGUCGGAGUGACUGGGCCCAUCCCCGUUACGCCCUCCUAUAAAUAUGCAGAUUUAUUUAAAUAGGGUCUCCCUGUCCUCGCACGCAGACAAAAUGAUAAGAAAAACUAAAUUUACGGCAUGCGAGGUGGAGGUGCUGGUGGCAGAGGUGGAGGAGCGACAGUGUGUUUUGUUUGGCAGCCUGUCCAGUGGCGUCAGUGCAAAACAAAAACGCUUGGAGUGGGAGAAAGUUUGCGAGAGGGUGAAUGCGGUGGGUUCCGAGACACGCACCCCCGUGGAGAUUAAAAAAAAGUGGUCGGACCUCAAGGUGGAGGUCAAGCGGCGUACAGCUGCCCUCCGGAGGAGUACUGGCCAGACAGGUGGGGUUCUGGGGGAGGAGACCCUCACACCGUUUGAGCAGUGGGUGGUGGCGAUUAUUAUUAUAGGGUAAGUGGCGUGUCACACAAAUGUCCACAUGCUUUGUCAUCCCACUGAGCAAAAGACAUAUAUUAGACGUCUAGUCUAAGUUUAUACUUCAUUUCUACGGCAGGAUUCAGUCUAUUUUUAGACGUGAUUUAUACUACGCCCUUAACUUCAUUUUUCGAUAACUUUUUAUGCAAUAAACAACUGUAAUGUGCAUAACUGACCUCUAAAUACUGGAUUACAUUACCUAUGAUACCGUGGAGAGAGAUGUAAAUGCAACAGAUACACAGAAGCAGGAAUUGAAAUGAACAAAUAUUUUUAUUGUGUCACAGAAAUCAAUGUGUCGGCCGUGUCGCCGGCUUGUGGAACCGCGGCCCGCGGCAGCCCGUCCGCCGGCUCGGAGUCGUCGGCCAGGACCAGCGGCAUUCGGGCCACCCCGGCCCCCGGCCCCAGCACCAGCACCAGCAUCAGUACCAGCGCGCCGACAAGCGGUGGAGCGUCCACCAGCCGCGGCGCUUGCGCUGGACCACCCGGACGCAGUGGAAGGGUCCUCGCGGAGGGGGUCCUGCAAUCGCAGGAAGAAAUCAUCAGGGGGCUCAUGGGGAUCAACGAGCGGCUGGACCGGCUUGUAAAUGUCCUCGAGCGUCUGGUGGAGAAAAUAAAUUAAAUUGGCUCAUUGAACUGUGUAUUCACUUCUUACCCAUUCACACUGUGGCGAUGAGAUUCUCCCGCGCGAGGACGGCGGCCCGGCAGGGAUCAGCUCGCAUCCCUCCGUCUGCUGCUGGUUCGUCAUGUGGGGCGACGUGCUGCUCGGCCACGGGGAUGUGGUGCACGCUUGUCACAUUGUGAGUCACCAAACACCGCCACACAGCGUCGCCUAAGUGCGAAUCACAGUCAACACAAGUAUCAGCUCAACGCCAAUUUCUACACCACCUCCUUACUUUGCGUUGAUUAGCGCUGGAACCGACGCUCGUUUCGCGAUGAUAAAUCUGGACGUGUGCGCUGAUUUUGGCGUACGCAAGGUUUUCUUGCGCCGCAAGCGUUGAUACAUAAGGCCCCUGGUCUGGUCUCACAUUCACACACAGAAUAUCUCCAGCUUUUAAGUCUCAGAAGGGGUCGAAGAUCCUCGAGUCAAGACUCAAAAUGAACAGACUAGACUCGAGAGAGAGGGAGUGAGAUAGGGGGGGGGGGGAGGGGGGGGGGCAGCAGGGCUCAAAUAUAUGUAAGUGUUGGAAAGUCAUGUCCCAUUUAGGGGCUAUCGUUAGAUAGGGGAAAGUCAGAGGGAAAGGAGGGGGUAACUCUCUGAUAAUGAAUUAGCACAUCCUGCUUAUGCUAGCUUCUUUGUAAGGAUUUGUAUUCAGACAUAUGUCCUUCAGAGGUUUCUGACCACAGUUUAAAAAGAGACUGGAGACAGAUUAGCCUGAGAUCCCGAGACAGUCUGAGAUUCUGAGAUAGUCUGAGAUCCUAAAACAGUCUGAGAUUCUGAGACUGUCUGAGACUUUGAAGUAGUUUGUCAUUGUUUUGAAGUGACAUCUUUGCCGUUUGAAAAAGACCUGUUGGCUGCAGGCUGGAGGUCACAUUUGAACUGACGCCUUUAAAUAAUGUAAAAAAAAAAGGUUAGAAAGGUCUGGGUAAGUGUUUCAACGUCAGACCUCUGCAGAGUUUAUGCAGCCUCACAUCGAAGACUUAGGGCUCUAUUUCCGUGUACCCCGGUGAGGCGGCGGAGGGUGGCGGACCCCGCACAGUUGUAUUUUCGUCUGGCAGAGCCCGGCGUACAGCCAGUUUGGUAUUUUCGUGGACUGAGGCGCACGGAGAUCCGCCAAGCUGGGUGUGGUGGCGUGGCAGAGGGAGGUUUUGACAGAAUCAGCUGGCGCAGUGACAUUUUUGGCUCGCCACCGUUGUAUAAAGUGCGCUGAAAGCUCGCCGAUUCAAACCUGGUCAGCUUUCAGCGCAGGUGGAGCGCAGCUGGUCUAGUGGUAUUUUGGUAGACCGGCGGUGUAUCGGCAUACGUCACCAAUGCCUCACCGGCAGGUUUUCACAGUGUGAGGCACAUUUCAGUGCAAUAAAUAAUUAUCAACAACUAAUAAUCUGACUCAGCACAUACAUUUAGAUCUAUAUAGAUAUAUUCUGAUCUAUAUCUGAUCUGAUGAGCGCGUUUGGCAUGCGUUUGGACACACAACCUGACCAAAUCAACACAGCUGAAACCGCAUUAAAUUAAAUUAAAUAUCUAGUAAAUAGACACACAUGAUGAAGUUAACAAGAUAUGUAAUUUGUCUCCCUCCUUUUCUUUCUUCCUCUUCCUCUUAUUUCUCACACAGCCGGACCUGGACAUGUCUCUGUGUCCUCUCCCCGUCCUGCUGCAGCUGCUGCUGCUGCGGCGGCUGAACAGGUGAUUUGUUUCCGUGAUCAGAUAAGUUAUCUACUUUAAGCCUACAUACGAAUAUUAUAAUAUUCAGUUUUGUGGGCCAAAUUUAUUUUAUGCCAACAUCUAGAAAAGAAAGAGCCAGGCCACGGAGCGCGAUGCGUCAUUACGAACAGAUGGUCCCGAUUUUAAUGCAAUUUUUUAAAUUUAUGUUGUGAACUGUGCGCACAACCCACCUUUGUCACGUGAGGUUUGAAUAUAUGCAACUUAAUGUGAGUGUCUUUAUUUGUGGAAAGGGAUGUUUGUCUUAUUAGUGGGUCCAACUUUACACACACCAAAUCCAUCUGUGCUCAUAUGAGAGAGUGUGGAGGACGCCUUCUGCAGCGACACUUGUUGAGGAGCUGCCUUCUGUUGCCAUCAUGUGGCAUUGCUGUCUUCAGACAUCUCUUAAUCUCUUUGACUACUUCACGAAAAUAGUAAUACGCCUCGCCAGUGGCGGAUUUAAAGGCGAGGAGAGGAGCUUAUGUUAUUGGUCAAUACAGGUCUCGGCUGUGUUAAACCCACUCCACACCCUCUCUCCUCCCUCUCUACGACUUAAGCCGCUGGGAGGAGCUGAUUUAGGGAGGGGGGAUACUUACGCCAGACUGUGCCGCUCACCAAAAUACCAAAUUGUGCUUGGGAAAGCCUUGAUGGCGCGGCGGACCUGACUUACGCCGCGCCUGCGGCACGUCUCCGGCGAGGCACAAAAAUAGAGCCCUUAGACUUCUACAGAGUUCAUGCAGCCUCCCAGCCUUGAGGACCUCUGCGGCAUUUACACAGCCUCACUUUGAGGAUCAGUGUGCAGCUGACGGCUGUGGGUGUGUUGUUCUUUGAGAUAAUGUCACCUUACUAUUGAAGGCACAUAUUGCUCAGUGUGAGAGUGACUGCUUUCAGCCCACACAAACAAAGCAGAUGUUGUGAGUGUCAGGGGUUGGCCUGCAAGCUGCAGCGACUGUAAUCGACUAUUUAAACAGCUGAGAGACACUGAUGUCAGCUAAAACACAGAUUUACACUCUGACAUCCCUCUGCUGCCACCACACACGCCUUACUUUGUGUUCAGCUCACAGGGAUGUGCUCUGAUAUUACCAUAAUGAUUGAAUGUAUGUGCCCAUCACUGUGUUAGCACCCAUCUAUCACCAGGUCACUACAGGUCAACUCUCCAGUUUAAGUUAAAUUUAGAUCACAAAAACCAGCCAGGACAGCAUAUCAUUGAAAAUGUCUAUGAAAACUGUCAAAUAGUGGAGGCAAAAAUAAGUGGGUUAGUGGAUCUGAACUGAUGAACUGAUUUUAACUGUAAAGGCAUGCUAGUGCUGGUUUGCAGCACCUGGACCAACAAGAAAUCACCACAGCUCCACAGUUAUGAUCAGGAUCUGUUCUGUUUUCCUGCAAACUGACCUCUCAGAAGAUGUAACGGCAGCUUAGGUAGCUGAAAAUCAGAAAUAAGAUGUGCAAAAGUCCAAAAAACUCUUUUGUUUUAAUCAAAUGUUUCCCUUGCAGUGACAGGUCCAACACUGUCUUUUAUUUUGUCCACAAAAGAAAAGGAUUUAAGGACUUUAAAGGUCCAUCAGAGCCACGGAACUCCUUUCACAUCAAUGUGGAUGGAUAACUUACUCAAAGCCGGUUUCAUUUCCAUGAGCAUCCCACCGCAGCCUUUGUUGCUGCUGUAACAAAGAUGGCAGUAGCUUCCAUCAAGCUGAAUGACAGAACUGCAUGGCAUUGGAGUGAGGCGUACAGGCAGGGUGGGAUGAAGAGCCUUGGGGGGUUACAGUCAGUUUGUCAGAGAAACUCUACAGCCACCAGAGCGCCAGCCUGCUUCACUUUGAAUUCCUGGUCUCGCCGCAUGAAAUCCCCCUUCCUAAAACAGCCCCCUUUGUCACCUGCUCCACUUUGACCCGUCCUGCCUGCCUGGAGAGAGACGAUAGUUACUCUGGCUGUAAGUUAAAUAUUUAAUUCCCUUCUUAUUCUUUCAAAUAGGACAAAGAAGGAGGAGGAGACCAAGUGAUGUGAUUGUGGUGGAUUUGAAGGAUGGGAUUACAGCAGAAGAAGAGGAAAGGACAAGAGACUGUAAGUAGGCCAAUCUGUGUCAGGUACACUUAAGGCGUUGAGCUUAACAGAUAUGUCAGCACGGCUAAAUGUGGGGCUGUCACCUCCCAAAACCAAAGGGUUAAAGACAAGGUCUAAAAACCUGAUACUGGUAUCACAUAAAAAAAGAGAGAGAACAGCAGGGGAAAGAGAGACCAAAGGUCCGUUUCACGUAGGUGGUUCAACAAACUCUGAGUCAAAUCCUUAACUCUGAGUUGAUCUACUCUGAAAUAGGAAACUCUGAGUUUCCGGUUUCACAACACCUGAUUUGAGUCAGUUUUAGCAACUCCGAGUAGUUUGACCUGGAGUUAAGCAUGUGCACGCCAGACAUAAACAGCCAGCAUCUGUGGUGCCCAGAUUCAUUGAUCAACCAAUGGAAACAGGGAGAAGGAGGUGGCAGCAGCAAGCCAACAGCGAAUUACAGCACGUUUUUAAAAGAAAGUGCAAUACAGUAGCAGCUGCAAAGGAGAGGGAGAGGGCAUGGGAGGAAGUUGCUGCUCGCGUCAAUGCGUAACUUUAAAUCUAGUCUUGUGCAAUCACAAUGACAGACUGUUGCAGGGGAAACUGCGUGCAUGGAGCAAAUUAAUUUAUUUUAUGUAGGUGCAAUCCAGCGGGACAAAAGCGCACUUGGCAGCAGCUGAAAAUUAAAUAUAAAACAUUGUGCAAACAGGUGAGACAUCGGCAUUUUCUUAUUUGAUCAUGUUUUAAAUUGUCAAGUAAGUAUUAAGUGGCAGUUUGAUCCCUUAAAAAAAUGCUCUUUUCACACUCAAAAAUGAAUUUUACUCUCUUAUAUUCCAUUAAGAAAGAAGGCAGAUGCCAGAAAAACGGGUUUAAAACGGAGGUAGAGUAGCGCCCCCCCGAUCGCAAAUCCCCCCCCCCCCCCCAAUCACACACGCACACACACACACACACACACACACACACACACCGGUCCGACGGUCGCUGCUAGGGGGGGGAUUUGCGAUCGGACCGGCCGCGAUCGUCGAACGGGGGGGGGGGGGGGUCAGCUACUCUGCCGUUAAAGCUGGGGCUGCUGGCCCACCACCCGUUUUUCUGGCAUCUGUCCUCUUUCUGUUUGCUGAGUAAAAGUCUGUGUUAGUAUAAUAUUCCUACUCAUUUAACGGAACAUAAUAAGAGAGUAAAAUUCAUUUUUGAGUGUGAAAAGAGCAUUUUGUAAGGGAUCAAACUGCCACUUAAUACUAACUUGACAAUGUAAAGCAUGAUCAAAAUGAGAAAAUGCCGAUGUCUCACCUGAAACUCUGGGUUUACUGAGUUAAACCUGGUCCCGAGCAGGGGCCUGUUCUACGAAGCAGGAUUACUGCUUAGCGAGGUAACUUCGAGGGUAAGUUCGGGGUUUCCUGUUCUACGACGCGGGUUCACGUCUUAGCGAGGCGAGUCUCCAUGGCAACAUACGCUGAACGGCUAACCUGCUCCGGGGCAGGUUAAGUUCCAGAUUGAACUCACCGAGUAUAAAAACCCCGCCCACUGACCAAUGAGCUCUCUCGAAAAACGGCUUGGCCAUUCUCGGAGUAUCCUGUAGACCUCGGUGCUCGCAUUGUCCGAGGAGGAGCACUCCGGCGCGCGAGAGUUUACAGGGACCGCACGGACCCACUUACUUUUCCGGAUGACCACCUUUAUGAAAGGCUCAUAUGGCCGACAAAUCACACAAAAAAUGUAAACACGAUAGGAAUGAACAUAUGAGUGAAUUCAUCUUGGAAAUGAAUGGGCAUGAGCUGCAUGGGCUGCGUGAUCACAGACAACAUCUCGGUACUAUUUAGUAGCAGCGCAUGCCCCUUGUAAUAACCCCCGUAAUACUGUUGUUCAGGACUGCUUACUUGUGCUUCCUACCCACUGUAAUAACCGUUGUUCUAGCCCACAUGCAACAUUUUUGUUCUCAUUCAUGAAACGCUUUUUUUUCAGGGACAGAUUUAGCCGGGGACAGAUCAUCCAAUUCGGGGACUGUCACCUUAGUUAAAAGCGCAUGCUGAACAGUGCUUUUUCAGGGUGAUAAUGGCAUCAAAGAUGCAUUUUCUGCCAGCAUUCCCUCCGUACUUUUGCGGCGGCGACGGUGUUGCUUUUGAGGUUUAUGGUAGUUUUGAAUUCUUCAUGCUUUCUCAUGAUCGUCUCCUGCUCCUCGUUUGUAAAGUACGCAGUCCUUGACUCUCCAGCCUGCUCUGAUGCUCCAGACUGAUCCAUGUUCACGAUUGGUCAGAUGCGGCAGGCUCCGCCUUAUAUGUGUGCACGCGCUCAUAGCUAAGCUGGAUCCACUUAUGAGGUUGAUAACCAGCGUCGUAAAACCGCUUAGCGAGACCGCUGGCUACCGCGCUAAGUUGAGCGAGGUAGCUCCAAGGCUACCUCGCUAGGUUGAACUUGCUUCGUAGAACAGGCCCCAGGUUAGGUUCACGGAGUCUGUUACUAUGGUAACUGACCGCGAGGUUGAGUUACCUCUCUUUGUGAAACAGGUUAGAGUUACCCCUCUCUCCCUGGUUUAACUGACCCUCCUUUGUGAAACGGAAAACUCAGAGUUUCCCUGAUUUCAGGGUUAACAGACUCUGAGUUUCCAUUAAACCUGCUACGUGAAACGGACCCCAGAAGUAGGAGAGACCAAGAGAGGGAAAAGGGAGACCUGGGGCCUCAUUUAUAAAACCUGGUGUAGGAUCCAUACUAAAAGUGUAUGUAAGUUGAAAAGCUGAAAAGUGCGUAGGCAAAAAAAAAAUCUGAUUUAUAAAACCCUGCCUACGCACACCUGCACGCACUUUCACUUUAUAAAUCACAGACCAGCCGGAAAGUUGCGCAGCAGGGAUUUGAUUCUUCCCCGCCCUCUCCACACCCAAAAUUCACCAUGUAUGGUCAUGCAAAUUACCUCAUGAAUGUGAUUUGCAUAUAAAUAAGCCUGAUGGAUCCACGGCAUUUCACGCUUAACCAUGGCAUCACCAAGUCGUAGAAAAAAUAACUUUUCAGAGAUCGAGGUGGAGGUUCUUGUAAUUGAGGUGGCGGCGAGACGGGAGACCUUAUUCGGCGGCCAUUCGAGUGGCAUCACCAAUAAAAACACCGUUGCCGUGGCGGUAAUUGUGGCUGGCACUGAGCGCAGCGUUGCCGAAACAGUGUUGUUUUCGUCAUAUUUCGUCAAAUAUUUUCGUCAACGCCAGCGUCAAAAAAGGGAAAUAUUUUCGUUGACGAAAAUAUUUCCCUUUUCUUCCACAACGAAGACGUAACGUUGACGAGCUAAACAUAAGUCGGAGAUGACUAAAAUGUGACAAGACGAAAGUGCGUUUACGUUGAUGGGACGAGACGAAAAUGACGACCAGAGUUGCAAAACUCAGUCAGUUAAACGCUAAACAUAUAGGAGCAGCUUCUGUCCGCUCUGACAGCUCUCAUCAGCCUGCUGUGUUCCUCCAACACACAGACACACACAUGCGCGCACACACAUGUGGAGUUUUGUUUUCGUUGACGAUGACGUAGACGAAAACAACACUGUGCCGAAAUCAAGAAGAAGUGGUCUGAUCUAAAGGUGGAGGCAAAGAAAAAAGUGGCUUUGCAUCUUCGGAGCGUGGCGGCGACAGGUGAGGAUCAGAAAACACAAGCACGUGUGACACUCAUGCAUGUGUUCCAAAAAAACUGCUCCUUUAUCCACCGCUGCUUAUGUGGUGAAAGUUCGUAAACCAAAAAGAUUUAGUCAUAUUAAUCUUAAAACAAAUGCAUGUAAAUGGAAUUUGUUUUUUUGCACAUUUGUAAAUUCAAAUUGGCAAACUAUCUACACUGCCACAGUGGGGUCUGUGCUUUCUGCGAGCAUCACUGCCUGUUACAGCAGCUGCAGCUUUCAGGACAGAGAGGCCCUGCAUCGAGUCAUGCGUUGUGCUGAACGCAUCACCCGGACUGUUCUCACCUUGCUCCGAUUGUCUCCAAAAAGUGCGUAAGCAAGGUGUGGAGUUUGCUUAAAGUUGCGCACAUUCCUACACUAGUUUUUCUUUUAUAAAUCCCAACUCUUGCGUAAGAAGUGGCGUAAGCACUUUCUAUCCAGGUUUUGAGCGUAAGCAAGCUUUAUAAAUGAGGCCCCAGGAGAGUGAGAGACCAUGGGCCUCAUUUAUCAACUGUGCGUAGAAAAGGUUCUAAAUUCUGCCGUAGAAUUGAAAUUUAGAAUAUGCGUAAGUACAAAAAAAUCUGUAUUUAUCAAACAUGCAGACACCGGUUGUACACACUCUAGUAAGUAAUCGAUGAUAAUAAAUCCCCCCUGUUCUUUACAACCAUGCUUGUGCAUAGUUAGGGUCAUUUGCAUUCAGAAAUGCCUCCACUGACCAUAUACAGUAUCAACAAUCCCUUCAAAAAUGCGUGAAUGGAUUUUUUUCCCCCUCGCUGAAAUCAUGGAGUUGCACACUCACAGAGCUGUGCUGCAGAAUGAAUGAGUUGUGUGUUCUUCCAGGCCACGGGGCAACAACGUUUAACAGAUACAUAUGUGCAGCACACAUUAUUUGUGCAUUGAUUGAAUGAAAUCCAUUCCUGUUGACAUAACUGAAUUUUUUUCUGUGAUGGUGCUUUUGUUACGAUGUGGGUGCAAUCUAUGGCUGCAAUUAUGUUUGGGAAUCUGGCGAUGGCGUAAAAUCCUUGUUUUAUUUCGGCUUGUUGGUGAUGUGUGUAUAGGAACUGGAUGUAAGUUGAGGCCAGAGAAAUUAUUGCAUCCAACUCUGCCGGCAUGAUUCUGCUUAGCAUUGGCUGCAAAAUGCCGUAUAUGUCUCCAAUCUCAGGCUGAAAUGUCCCGGUGGCCAAAAAUCCCAAGGUGGACAGGAGCUGGAUGUGCCCUGGGAUGGCUUUGGUGCAUUUUGUCUCUCGCUCCAACACGGGUUGUAAGUCAUAGCAUAAAUCCAUUAAAAUGUUUUUGGGGAAGCGGAAGCUACCUGCUGAGAAUCCACUCUGUGUUCUCACUGAACAGAUCAGCAUGGUCUUUAAAAAGGCGCUCCCUGCAGAGUCCUCCAAUAGCACAAAAUCUUUUGAGGUUGUUCUGUCACGGAUGAUUUUUAUAGCCUGUCACACCAAUCAUUCAAAAUGUCUGCUAAAUAACUAAUUGAUAAAUUUUGUAUAGAGGCAGCGGGGAACAUGUGUGAAGUUUGAGAUUGUUGAAUGCUGUGACUCCUUAAUGGGUUCUAUUUGUAGUUUCACUGUUCUACCACUAGAUUUUGUGUGUAUGCAUGGUCAGAGUUGUGCUUAGUUUUACGCACAUUCCUAAGCACAAGUACAGGUUGAUAAAUUACAUACUUUGCAUGGGAAUGUACGUAGGCACUCACUACGCACACAUCUAUGCGUAUGCAUGGUUGAUAAAUGAGGCCCCAGGAGAGGGAAGUGCGAGACCAGGAGGAGGGAGGGUCCAGAAGGGGGAAGAGAUGAUAAGGGGAGGGACCAGGAGGAGGGAGGAGGAAGGGGGGACCAUCAGAUUUAACAUUAAAUCACCUGUUAUAUGGGAACCAACAUCCAAAAAUUCUUCAAAAACAUCUUAAAAAAAUCUCAGCCCAUUUUAAUGUGAUGUAGCAACAAGUAAAUAACAUUUUUAGAAGGAUAAAAGGCAACACUAACAUCAAAAAAACUUUAAAAAACAAACAAACAAAAAAAAAAAACAGACUGACCAGGGUGAAGUGUUUCAUGACUGAAAAUCUGACACUCUUUAAGAAAACCAUGGAUGCUAAAUUGUCCUAUCUAAAGAGUGGCGGGACCACCUGGCUUUUUCUCAGCCCCCAGUCCAAAGCCAGCAUCUCUGAUGUAUGGGAAUCAUCAGAGUCCAUGUCAUGGGUAUCUUCCACAUCUGUGAAGACUUCAUGAACGACGACGCCGGUCUGUCGACAGCCAGGCUGAAGAAAGCCCUGGGAAGUGAAUUCUUCGCCAGGCCGGUGAAGUAGACGUUGUCUCGGUUGACCUGCGUGGAUUGACGGGAUUCCGAAGGAGGAUUCAUGUUCGAUAGAACCGGACCUGAUGUGAG